AUCCAAGGAAGGCAGCAGGCUCGCAAAUUACCCACUCCCGGCACGGGGAGGUAGUGACGAAAAAUAACGAUACGGGACUCUUUUGAGACCCCGUAAUUGGAAUGAGUACACUUUAAAUCCUUUAACGAGGACCUAUUGGAGGGCAAGUCUGGUGCCAGCAGCCGCGGUAAUUCCAGCUCCAAUAGCGUAUAUUAAAGUUGUUGCGGUUAAAAAGCUCGUAGUUGGAUCUCAGUCUCAGACGGCUGGUCCGUCGCUUGUCGGCGGUUUUUUACCGGCCGCUUCUGGACAUAGAUGGCCGGCUGCCCUUGAUGAUCUUGACCGGUUGUCUUUGGUGGCCGGCGACUUUACUUUGAAAAAAUUAGAGUGCUCAAAGCAGGCGGCAUUAUGCCUGGAUACUGGUGCAUGGAAUAAUAGAAUAGGACCUCGGUCUUGUUCUGUUGGUCUUCGAGACCACGAGGUAAUGAUUAAGAGGAACAGACGGGGGCAUUCGUACUGCGGCGCUAGAGGUGAAAUUCUUGGACCGCCGCAAGACGAACAACUGCGAAAGCAUUUGCCAAGAAUGUUUCCGUUAAUCAAGAACGAAAGUCAGAUGAUCGAAGGCGAUCAGAUACCGCCCUAGUUCUGACCAUAAACGAUGCCAGCCAGCGAUCUGGAUGCGUUCAGACAAAACGACGCUCCAGGCAGCUUCCGGGAAACCAAAGCUUUUGGGUUCCGGGGGAAGUAUGGUUGCAAAGCUGAAACUUAAAGGAAUUGACGGAAGGGCACCACCAGGAAUGGAGCCUGCGGCUUAAUUUGACUCAACACGGGAAACCUCACCUGGCCCGGACACAGGAAGGAUUGACAGAUUGAGAGCUCUUUCUUGAUUCUGUGGGUGGUGGUGCAUGGCCGUUCUUAGUUGGUGGAGUGAUUUGUCUGGUUAAUUCCGAUAACGAACGAGACUCUAGCCUACUAACUAGACGCUCCGGGCCACUUUGUUGGUUCGGACGCAGUCGUAAAAGACUCUUCUUAGAGGGACAGGCGGCGUAUAGCCGCACGAGACAGAGCAAUAACAGGUCUGUGAUGCCCUUAGAUGUCCAGGGCCGCACGCGCGCUACAAUGAAGGAAUCAGCGUGUGCUUACCUGGUCCGAAGGGACCGGGAAAUCCGUUGAACCUCCUUCGUGAUUGGGACAGGGGCUUGCAACUGUUCCCCUCGAACGAGGAAUUCCCAGUAAGCGCGAGUCAUAAGCUCGUGUUGAUUACGUCCCUGCCCUUUGUACACACCGCCCGUCGCUACUACCGAUUGAACGAUUUAGUGAGGUCUUCGGACUGGUUCUCGUGGGUCUCGCCCGUUAAGGGUCGGCCUCGAGUUGCCGGAAAGACGAUCGAACUUGAUCGUUUAGAGGAAGUAAA
rnacentral:rRNA from 1 species